rnacentral:rRNA from 1 species
GAUGAACGCUGGCGGCGUGCCUAAUACAUGCAAGUCGAGCGAACAGACGAGGAGCUUGCUCCUCUGACGUUAGCGGCGGACGGGUGAGUAACACGUGGAUAACCUACCUAUAAGACUGGGAUAACUUCGGGAAACCGGCGCUAAUACCGGAUAACAUGUUGAACCGCAUGGUUCAACAGUGAAAGACGGUUUUGCUGUCACUUAUAGAUGGAUCCGCGUCGCAUUAGCUAGUUGGUAAGGUAACGGCUUACCAAGGCUACGAUGCGUAGCCGACCGGAGAGGGUGAUCGGCGACACGGGAGCUGAGACACGGUCCAGACGCCUAAGGGAGGCAGCAGUAGGGAAUCGUCCGCAAUGGGCGAAAGCCUGACGGAGCAACGGCGCGUGAGUGAAGAAGGUCUUCGGAUCGUAAAACUCUGUUAUUAGGGAAGAACAAAUGUGUAAGUAACUAUGCACGUCUUGACGGUACCUAAUCAGAAAGCCACGGCUAACUACGUG